CUACUCCUACGGGAGGCAGCAGUAGGGAAUCUUCCGCAAUGGGCGAAAGCCUGACGGAGCAAUGCCGCGUGAGUGAUGAAGGUUUUCGGAUCGUAAAGCUCUGUUGCCAGGGAAGAACGCUUGGGAGAGUAACUGCUCUCAAGGUGACGGUACCUGAGAAGAAAGCCCCGGCUAACUACGUGCCAGCAGCCGCGGUAAUACGUAGGGGGCAAGCGUUGUCCGGAAUUAUUGGGCGUAAAGCGCGCGCAGGCGGUCAUUUAAGUCUGGUGUUUAAUCCCGGGGCUCAACCCCGGAUCGCACUGGAAACUGGGUGACUUGAGUGCAGAAGAGGAGAGUGGAAUUCCACGUGUAGCGGUGAAAUGCGUAGAUAUGUGGAGGAACACCAGUGGCGAAGGCGACUCUCUGGGCUGUAACUGACGCUGAGCGCGAUAGGCUUACCCC
rnacentral:rRNA from 1 species